rnacentral:rRNA from 1 species
CACGUAGGGUGCGAGCGUUGUCCGGAAUUAUUGGGCGUAAAGAGCUCGUAGGCGGUGUGUCGCGUCGGCCGUGAAAACCUGCAGCUUAACUGUGGGCUUGCGGUCGAUACGGGCAUCACUAGAGUGCGGUAGGGGAGACUGGAAUUCCUGGUGUAGCGGUGAAAUGCGCAGAUAUCAGGAGGAACACCGGUGGCGAAGGCGGGUCUCUGGGCCGUAACUGACGCUGAGGAGCGAAAGCAUGGGGAGCGAACAGG